rnacentral:snoRNA from 1 species
CAAGAAUUUCCAUUUGUGGUAGAUGAUGCUGAGAGAAGACCCUUGAUGGCAUCUUUGCCCUGAGACUCUACCAGUGGCAACUGUCACCCAUUGGGACAGAG